GGCGGAACCAGCGCCCUGCCUAACCUGAGGGGGUGGCCUGGGGGUGUGCACUGCUGGACCUGAUGUGGUCCUGAAGGCGUCCUUAAAUUGUUAAAAAUAGUCUCGCUGUAUAGAGAAGAACACUGGAACCUUUUAAGUCCCCAUCCCCUCGCCUGAGUCCGGAGUGAAACUCCAAACAUACUUAUUAAGAAACUGUUGCUUUAUUUUGACUCGUUUACAUAAAUUUUCCACUUUGGGGGGAUGGUGGUGGGCUUGUGGAAUUCCUAAAAUAACUUUUAAUGGAGCGAAGCCUUCCAUUAUGGGAAGCGCCUAGACGCGAGAGGCGUCUGGAGGCCUAGGUUCCCGUCAGAGCCCUGCCACCAACUGGCUGAGCGACUGAGGCACAUCGCCGCCCCUCCCGGCCGGGGUUAGGAGAGUGGACGCCCCCUCCACCCCGAAAGGGGAGACCGGAGAGCUGUCUCAACCAUUAAUAAUGAGACUGGGUUUUCCUUCCUUAAAAUGUUCUGAUAGUAUGGAGAGGCAACUUGGAGAUGAGAAUAAAAAUAAAAGAGGUGAGAGCAGUUUGCUUUUCUCAGUGGUGUACUCUGUGCCUAACACCGGUUAUAUUUAUGGCUCGGUCAAGGUCACCUUCAGAUCUGUGCAGGUCCAUCAAUUAUAUAUUAUCCUAUCGCUAUGGGGAAACCUCCCAUCACUUCAGAAGCUUCAGACCUUUGUACCAUCCUCCUGCAAAAGGACCUGUGCGGAGGGGCACCAAGGGCCUGACGGGGAGGGACUUUUGAAGAAUGAAGGUGGACAGGUGAUGUCAACUUGAUGUGUCACAUCAUUCAGGGAGCCAUAACAGGUUUAUGGCCCUGACCCGGGGAGGCCCUGCCCCCCUUACCACCGAGGAUCCGAGAGGCUGAGUACUGUGGACACCUGGGUGAAACAGCCAUGAAGCUUUACUAACUGCUCUGCAGCCUGACUCACUUGGGGCGGGUCUACACCACAGUCUUAAGUACAGCGAAGGAGGAAAGUGACUUCAAGCAAACUGAAAACCAUUUGGAAGAAGAGACAGUAGGCACACAGUGUGACAAAGUCUGCGCUGGAGCUAGAAGGACGAGUCUGCCCGCAGCUCUGUCCCGAACUGACCUCAAAGGGCCAUCAGAGGACUGCCGUGAGGUGCAGCGAAGGGGACGCUGAGCCGCGCGGGGAUAAAACCACUCGCCCAGGGUCACCAGGCUAGUGCUCCUUAAAGGUUCUUGUCUCAGUCAUGUCAUGUCCUCUAACCGGCUGGCUCACCACGCUGCCGCUGGGACCGGGAGUUGUAUUGUUUCCUUAA